UGGACGCGCGGCCGCAUACGGAGCCGGGCCGCACGCGCGAGGCCGUGCCAGGCGACGCCGAGUCCAGUCACCACAGGCUCGGCCAGGCCAGCAUGGUGGACCACUUGCUUCCAGUGGACGAGACCUUCUCGUCACCGAAAUGCCCAGUGGGAUACCUGGGAGAUAGGCUGGCCAACAUUAUCACUGGGGAAGGAGUGUUUUGGCUGUGUCGAAAUAGUAGCUCCCAGAGGAAGCCAUGCUGAGAAAAAGGAAGUAGGUCAAAAGCGCAGGGCUGUACUGUGGUGCGAGGACCGCCAUAUGCAAGAGGCCUCUGAGGGUCCAGGAGGAUGGCCACCCUCGCUCUAGGCCCUAACGCAAGUGCUUAAAUGCAAGACAAAUGGAGCCAUAUCCAUCCAUACCCAGCCUGGCUCACCCUCCUCCAGACGCCAACCUCCUGGCUGUGGUGGGAAGCGAAAGGAGCAGGUCUGGUGGAUGCAAAGCGACUAGCUAGCGCCUCCCAGUCUGACUUAGAUCCGCAUUCCUCGUCAGGUCUAGAAAUUAGUACCAAUUGAACUAGCUUGUUUCGACAGGUCUGUUUCACAUCCUAUGAAUGUAUGUAAAUAAACUGUACAUAGGUGCGCAUCUACAUAAAAUAUCUUUUAAUAACACGUUGACAUUUGUGUAAAUUUGAA
rnacentral:lncRNA from 1 species